UGGUCAGCCCUGGAGUCUGACUCUCCAGUUUAGCCACAGAUUGGCUACCACGCAGGCAGUAGCAAGGCAAGCUUCCUCCAUGCUACCCUGCCAAUAUGCCAGAAAGGACUUCAUCUGAGGGUAAAAGGGGAGAUCAGUCUCCAUGGCUCAUUCAGCCCUUGGCCUCU
rnacentral:sRNA from 1 species